rnacentral:miRNA from 1 species
GAAUCUUGUUAAAAUGUAGAUUCUGAGUCAGUAGGUCUGGAAUGGGGCCUGAGAUUCUGCAUUUUUAACAAGCUC